AAGAGUAAGGGUGCUCAGCGCCCGACCUCCAACCCUCUGUUGUUAAAACUACCUUGUUGCUUUGGCGGGACCGCCCGGUCUCCGAGCCGCCGGGGCCCUCACCGGCCCAGGCGAGCGCCCGCCAGAGUUAAACCAAACUCUUGUUAUCAAACCGGUCGUCUGAGUAAAAGUUUUUAAUAAAUCA
rnacentral:misc_RNA from 1 species